rnacentral:rRNA from 1 species
GAGUUUGACCAUGGUUCAGGAUGAACGCCGGCGGUGUGCCUAAUACAUGCAAGUCGAACGCACUGGCCCAACUGAUAUGACGUGCUUGCACUGAUUUGACGAUGGAUUACCAGUGAGUGGCGGACGGGUGAGUAACACGUAGGCAACCUGCCCAAGAGCGGGGGAUAACAUUUGGAAACAAGUGCUAAUACCGCAUAAGAUUGAUGACCACAUGGCCAUCAAUUUAAAGAUGGUUUCGGCUAUCACUCUUGGAUGGGCCUGCGGUGCAUUAGCUAGUUGGUAAGAUAACGGCUUACCAAGGCAGUGAUGCAUAGCCGAGUUGAGAGACUGAUCGGCCACAAUGGGACUGAGACACGGUCCAUACUCCUACGGGAGGCAGCAGUAGGGAAUCUUCCACAAUGGGCGCAAGCCUGAUGGAGCGACACCGCGUGAGUGAAGAAGGGUUUCGGCUCGUAAAGCUCUGUUGUUGAAGAAGAACGUGCGUGAGAGUAACUGUUCAUGCAGUGACGGUAUUCAACCAGAAAGUCACGGCUAACUACGUGCCAGCAGCCGCGGUAAUACGUAGGUGGCAAGCGUUAUCCGGAUUUAUUGGGCGUAAAGCGAGCGCAG